UAGGGAGACCUAAUCCAUUUAGAAAUCGAAAACAAUGAAAAUUGUCAAUAGAAACUAAAUUGGUCUAACCUAGGUCGUUCGAGAUUGGUAGACAUCUUUCAAGGUAUUAUUCGGCUUCGUUCAAAACCAUAUAUAAUAAAUGGAAAAAGACAGCACCUAAUUGUCAAAGUUAGACUGCUGGAUGAAAUUCCAGCCAGAACCUUGAAAACUGCAUAAGAGAACAAGAAAAAGCAGGCAGACACAGACAUUUAGAUGGAUGUGAAAGCAAAAGAAAUUGU
rnacentral:misc_RNA from 1 species